ACUUAUUUAUUCCCCAAAGCUUGUGAAAUAUAAUACUACGGGGGGGAGGGACCAGAAUCCAAACAGAAAAAUAUGAUAAAGAAAAUUACUCAUUCUCAUUACAGAUGGUAUAUUUUACCUGGUGUGCUGUAGUGAAAGCUGGCAUACAUAAGACCAAGAUAAAGCUACAAAGGCUGCAGGGUGUAACUGCUGAAGCUACAGUAGCUACAGUGGGAGGAUACUCAGCAUCAAGCUGUCAGGAAUAGUGGAAACAGUAAAGCAAACCAUCAACCAGCCAACCUUGUAAUUGUCUGUACUCUUCUACGGUUAAUAUUGGUUUUAAUGUUAGUAUUUAAUUUGUUCAGCUAUGCUUUCACUGGUUUUAGGCAGAUAAUCAACUGUAAAUUCAUAGUUUUCACCAUUCUAGGUUUAAGCUUGGUAAAAAGUUUAUUUGCAGCUGUACUCUGUUGUUAAGUGCCAUGACAUGGAAAAGCUGAACAGUUUAUAUUUGUGCCUUUCAACUCUUCCAUUUAAUGCGCUGCUACAUAACAGGAAGAUAUGUUUUCUGAUUACCUGCUUUCUUAACGUUGUAAUCUCUUAAAUACUUCAUUCCUGAAAUAUUUCAGCUAUGCAGACCACCCAGAAGGGCUCAGCAGACAACAAGUUACAAGCCAGUGAUUUUCUCUUCGACUCCUCAUGUUACUGUGUCAAGCAGUAGAGAGAAGAACUAACACAGGAAUAUAUACAGAAGGAACAGAGAGCCAGCUGCAGUGACAGAAGGGUGAAUAAUAAGACUCUUCAAAAAAAAGCAUAUUGAUAAAACUAUUAGUUUGAGUGCUAACUGACAAAGAGUGGAAGCUCUGAGCAAGAUGCUGGAUCAUUCCUUCCACCACCACAGGGACCCUACAGGGAUCUGAGGAACGGUACUUGUAUGCUGAUGAGAAUACAAAUACGACAUGCAUCUCCCCCUUAAAGAAUACACUGAGUGCAGCCAAGCUCCUGAGGAACAGCACAGCGCAAAGCUUAAGUACAAGUUGCCAUACAAUCCAAACAAGACAUGCAGAAUUUUACUGUACUGAUAAGCAUUCUAAAAUACAAUUAAAUCUGACAUCAUCUGAAACCACCGAGGAAAACAGAGAACUGUCUGUUUAAACUCUUUAAGAACCAAAUGGGAAUGAGAUACGACCUGAGGUCUUCAUCUUGAAACUCGGGCUUCUAGUGAGUCAGUAGGACUGCCUGCAGGAAUGGAAGUUCUUACUGUUUUAAUGCCCUUCUAAAUCAGUUGUACAGUAUGGAAAUAAGGAUAUUCUACUUCACUUGACAGAAGCACCAGUGGCAACGAGAAUGUUAGAAAAGGUGGCAAUAUGCAGAGGCUGAAUGAAAUGACCCUUCAUUAGUAAUUACCCUGAAUCCCCAAUAUAAUGAGGAUUCUUUUGAUAAGCCAAUCUUAAGGCUACAUAAGAAUAAAUAUAUGUAUCCUAAAUUAGGUCAAGAGAUCUGAACUACUCACCCUCUUCUUAGUAACUGAAAUGACAUUGAUUAAAGUCACCAGCCGAAAGCUGUAGAGGUUAAAUCUUUUUUAUUUUUUAAGUUUUUUGCUAUCUCCAGCAGUGAAAAUACUCAUAAUAGUAUCUCUUGUUUCAGUGCUGUACUAGGAUUAUUUUUAUAGUUUCUAAAAUUCUUGAGAACACUUCCUGAAAGAAAAGAUGCAGUUGGGGAAUUCCAGAGAAGCAACAAAACCAACUAAAUGAAUCGUUUACUGCUGGUCACUGUGUAUAUCUGCUAAUAUGGGAGGAAAAGCUGAUCAGAAUAGCAUAGAAAGCAGCAAGAGAGAAUUUUUUUUGUUGCUUCUAGUCACAAAUUCAGGCCUGCUGACUGCUAAUUCUGAGCUGAUUAGAGAAACUGAAGUAAAAGAGAGAUGUUGGCAGUGACCACUGUUCUUGCUAGCAAUGCCAGAACUGGCCAUUCUGUAGCUCUUGCCAAACACACAAUCCUUUGCCCAGACCAGUCCAAAGCUGGACUGGUAUCAGCAGAAUCUCUCCAUCUGGAUUGCUCCCAAAAUGAAGAUGACAGAAGGGUAUUUGUAAUGUUUGCAAUGCUUUGCCUUGCCUUUUCUGGUUGCCAGAACAGUGAUGGCUGAAUGAGCUUAAAGAAACUGAGAUGGUGCCAGUUACACAUCAUUAUGUGUUUUAACACACUGAAUAUGAGAGCGAGCAAGUCUAAGGUGCUACUCUAUACCUUCUACAAUGGGAAAAACUUCUCUGCUUCCAAGCGGCUGGGCAUGCUUUCACGCACAGUGGAAGUGUACUAUAUUAUAGAACUAUUACUUAAAGACAGAAUGUCUUGGGGUUUGCCAUAAUGUCUUUUAAAAAACUGUCCCCUUAAAAAAUAAAGUAUUUUGGUAUCUUAAAAUUGGUACCUGAUUUUUUUUUUUUUUCAUAAGAACAUAAUGCCAACAUAAACUUCUAUUUGUUAAACCACAAAUCUCUCACUUCUUUGCAGGGGAAUCCUGAGUCCAGGAUAGAUAAUAACGAUGGACCUGGCCGAGGUGUUCAAGUCUGACGUUUGGAAUGUCAUGUUCAAUCCUUUAAGGAGGAUAAAGCAAUGAUAUCAGAUCAAAACACAGAUAUGACAGUUUAAACUUACAGGCAUCUUCUCUUGUCUCCUAUAAUUCUGUUGCUCAAUUACAGUGUGAGCGCCCUGGCAGAUAAAGCAGUACUUAAUAGCAAUCUGUUUUUCAACACUCAUGUGGCACAUGUUCAGAUGAAUGUACUUGAGCAUCAGUCACCAUUCAGUGAAUGAUAUUUUAUUCAGUAUAAACUACUCAGAAUGCAAGAACUGCAAUAAAAAGUUAUUAAAUUAGUUACAAAAGAAAGUAUUAGAAGCUCACCCUCUGAGAAUCCAGUACAAAUACAACACAUGCCUGUAGGAAUGGAAAUACAAAAAGAAAGUCCUGAAUUUAUUAUAUGUAGAGGGCAUAAUACAAGUGCGUUGCUGCUGACUGUAAAAGAUGAUCCUAAGUGUAAACAACAUGUCUUCAGAAUCUCCAAAAGAGCAGAGAGCUAAAAAGGCCGAGGCCAAUGGAAUUCAAUAUUCUCCAUUUUUAUUAUAGAUCUGUGUAGAAUGGCACAAGUUUAUCCACCAUUCAGAAAUCCACAAGAGAAGGUAUAAAUUCUUCUCUUCUCAGAGCAGAUCUCUACAGCAAGAAAAAAAAAAAAAAUCAGCAGUAAGUACUGCUGAGGCAUUUUCAGACAGCUAAUAACUCCCUCCAGGGCUGCCUAGGUCCAAUUUGGAAUCUGAGCUAACAAUUGUAUCACCUCCCUGUCUCAAUUGCUUGCUGGGAAAAAACCAGCUAUGCUUCACUGCAAAUGUAAGUAAUAAAGGAUGGUAAGAUCUUUAAGCCUUAGGGCUAAAAGAUCUUUGGUUUUUAAAAAGAUUCUUCAUCUGCUUUUCUAGGAGGGAAAAAUCUUUACAAUUACGCAUUUAAAAAAAGAAUCUGCUCUGGUAUAGUUUAGAAAUCAAAAGUGUACAUUCCUCAAUAUUGUCAAUAUCAUUAGCUUACUGUAAAAUGAGGCAAU